rnacentral:misc_RNA from 1 species
CUUUAGAGGAAGUAAAAGUCGUAACAAGGUUUCCGUAGGUGAACCUGCGGAAGGAUCAUCAAUGAAAUAUUUUGAUUAUUCAAAAAAAAACAAAAACAAAAACAACAAAUUCCAGGCGAAGGGGAUUAUCCUUUGUCUUGGUCGUGUCGGUAGUGUGUGUCCUGAAACCUGUGGCCUGAUUAAUCUAAAUAAUUGGUGGGUUUUUUUUUGGAUGUUUUAAAAACACAUUACUGAAGCGCUUCAGGCCGAAAACCAAAACCUGUCAGUCAAAUGUGGGCGGCACUUUGACACUCUGAACAGUAUAAUACUCACAACCGACCACCAAAACAACUUUCGGCAACGGAUCUCUCGGCUCACC